AUUGAACGCUGGCGGCAGGCCUAACACAUGCAAGUCGAACGAGUGGCGGACGGGUGAGUAAUGUCUGGGAAACUGCCUGAUGGAGGGGGCUAACUACUGGAAACGGUAGCUAAUACCGCAUACCAUCAGAUGUGCCCAGAUGGGAUUAGCUUGUUGGUGGGGUAAAGGCUCACCAAGGCGAAGAUCCCUAGCUGGUCUGAGAGGAUGACCGGCCACACUGGAACUGAGACACGGUCCAGACUCCUACGGGAGGCAGCAGGGGGGAAUAUUGCGCAAUGGGCGAAAGCCUGAUGGAGCCAUGCCGCGUGUAUGAAGAAGGCCUUCGGGUCGUAAAGUACUUUCAGCGGGGAAGCGUUACCCGCACAAGAAGCCCCGGCUAACUCCGUGCCAGCAGCCGCGGUAAUAC
rnacentral:rRNA from 1 species